rnacentral:misc_RNA from 1 species
GGACUAAUCUUAGUCCUCUCAAACUGUUGUAACUCCGAGGAUUUGAUGGCAAUACCUCUAGCUUGAGCACUAUAAUAACUUGGCAAAUGCGGAGGCAUUUUUGCAUACCAUUCUCACUUGUGCAGUAUAUCACUGUAUGAACAACCAGCAGAAAGAAACAGUUCACAAUAAACUGCACACUCAGCCCAUGCCACAUCGAAGAUGGCAGUGAAUUGAACAGCAUAGUGAAAACAGAAGUAAGAAGAAAAAGAUUUGAGGUUCCUCAGAUUCGAAAGCUGAGAUGUUAAUUUUGAAAAACAUUUAUGACAAAGGACAAAAAAGAAUGAUAACAACAAUGAUAACCAUUAUUUCCUUUUAUUACCUUCUUUUUUCUCUGGCAAAUACU